UAACCCUCAAGCUCAGCUUGGUGUUGGGUGCUUGUCCUCCCCCUGUGGUGGACUCACCUCAAAUGCAUUGGCGGCCUGUAUGUUGGCUUCGAGCGCAGUAGAAACGCGCCCUGAGUCUCCACGUGCAGGUCCCCCAGAAGCACCUUCUUAU
rnacentral:misc_RNA from 1 species